rnacentral:sRNA from 1 species
ACAAAACAUAAUAAAUAAUUAUCAUUAUUAAUUCAUUAUCAUCAAACUUAGGAUAUUUACGUAUUACACUUUUUAUGGAUUUACGUUUUUGACGAUAAAAUCAUGGAUUUACGUUUUUUGCGGGAAAAUUACGGAUUUACGUUUCUGGCGGGAAAAUUACGGGUUUAAGUUUUUGGCAGGAAAAUCUCGGGUAUACGUUUUUGGCGGGAAAAUCACGGAUUUACGUUUUUGGCGAGAAAAUCACGGAUUUACGUUUUUGGCGGGAAAAUCACGGGUUUACGUUUUUGGCGGGAAAAUCACGGGUUUUCGUUUUUUGGCGAGAAAAUUACGAGUUUACGUUUUUGGCGGGAAAAUCACGGGAUUUACAUUUUUGGCGGGAAAAUUACGGGUUUACGUUUUUGGCGGGGAAAUUAUGGAUUUACGUUUUUGGCGGGAAAAUCUCGGGUUUACGUUUUUGGUGGGAAAAUUACGGGUUUACGUUUUUGGCGAGAAAAUUAUGGAUUUACGUUUUUGGCGGGAAAAUCUCGGGUUUACGUUUUUGGCGGGAAAAUCUCGGGUUUACGUUUUUGGCGGGAAAAUCUCGUGUUUACGUUUUUGGCGGGAAAAUCUCGGGUUUACGUUUUUUGCGAGAAAAUCACGGGUUUACUUUUUUUUGCGGGAAAAUCACGGAUUUAUGUUUUUUGGUGGAAAAAUUACGAGUUUACUUUUUCUCAAUUUCAUUGCUUGUAUAUUUAAGAAAUUUGGAAAAAUAUUAAUUUUAUUAAAUUGGUUUAGAUGUGUUGGUUAAACCUAAAUUGGCAUUGGUUUAGAGAUUUUAGUUGGUUUUAUUCAAUUUUACAAAAUUUGAUGGGUUAAUUGGAUAAACCAUGGAAACCAUUAACCAUUACAACCUAACUCAUUUUACUCAUCAAACCAAUUGACUCAUCAACUCAUUUGACUCAUCAACUCAUUUGAGUCAAAAAUUUCAACUCAUUAGGGUUCAUGGGUUGAGUUGAGUUGAGUUGACCCAUGAAUUUUGACCCAUUUUGACACCCCUACAUAUGAUCAUAAGUUAAUAAUCAAAAAUUACUAUUGAUAACUUUUUAACGGAAUUGUUUUGUAAGUUUCAUUUACGUUAUUUAUAUAAAAA